UAGCGGGUUUGUUCACGCGUCUAGUUGGGCUUCUAAAAUGGGGUGUAAUAGUACAUAAAAUAGUUUAAGUUUAGAUUUUUCUUAAUUAUAUUUAUAGAUUAUAUGAAAUAUUUAAGUUUAUAUUUUCUUAAUUAAUAUAAACAUUUAAUUUAUUGAUAGGGUAAAUGAAGAGUUUGAAAUAGAUAUUGUAAUACAUGAAAUUAAUUUACCAAAUUAUUUUUUUUUUUACAAAACAAAAGGUGAGAAUAAUCCACCAAAUAUAUUUGCUUUGUAGUAUAAUAUAGUAUAGAUAUAGAUAGAUAUAGAUUAGAAGCACGAAUUUGAAACUUCUACAUUUCCGACUCAGAAUCUUAUAUCUUUUCUCGCUGCAAUCAAACUUUUUUUUUUCAUCAAAUACUCCACUAAUAUCUAUGACUAAGAAAGUAAAAGCAAAAAAGUUCGUAGGACGAAAAGUGCUGUUGAUUUUUUUUUUUUUUUUUGAGAGAAAGAUAACAUGCUAUCCGCUUCAUUGGUCUCAUUUAUUUAUUUAUUUUUGAGAGAAAGAUAGCAUGUUUAUUUCUUUGGAAAAAGAGCUGAAAAUGUGAAGCAAGUAGAUUUCGAAUUUGGGACCUUGGGUACCAACCAUCAAACCCUUUAUCACUUGCGCUAGGGACGGUCAGUUUGUUGAUUUUUAUUUGAAUAGCCAAAUUAAUGGUAUUUCAAUACUAAGACAUUUGAAUAAAGUGUGACAAAAUUAUAUGUUUAGGUAGCGUCUAAUUCGGGGUUAAAGCGGGGAUAACCUCUUA
rnacentral:lncRNA from 1 species